rnacentral:rRNA from 1 species
UAAUAAUAUAGGACCUUCGUUCUAUUUUGUUGGUUUCUAGAACUUGGGUAAUGAUUAAUAGGGACAAUUGGGGGCAUUCGUACUAACGCGUCAGAGGUGGAAUUCUUGGAUUGCGUUAUGACGAACUACUGCGAAAGCAUUUGCCAAAGAUGUUUUCAUUGAUCAAGAACGAAAGUAUGGGGAUCGAAGACGCUUAGAUACCGUCGUAGUCUAUACCAUAAACUAUGCCAACUAGAGAUUGGAGGGGUUCUCUUAUUUGGCCUCUUCAGCAUCUUAUGAGAAAUCAAAGUUUUUGGGUUCCGGGGGGAGUAUGGUCGCAAGGCUGAAACUUAAAGGAAUUGACGGAAGGGCACCACCAGGAGUGGAGCCUGCGGCUUAAUUUGACUCAACACGGGAAAACUCACCAGGUCCAGACAUAAUAAGGAUUGACAGAUUGAUAGCUCUUUCUUGAUUUUAUGGGUGGUGGUGCAUGGCCGUUCUUAGUUCGUGGAGUGAUUUGUCUGCUUAAUUGCGUUAACGAACGAGACCUUAACCUGCUAAAUAGAAGCUCCUAUCUUCGGAUAAGUGCAUUUCUUCUUAGAGGGACUUUACGCGUUGCAGCGUGAGGAAGUUUGAGGCUAAAACAGGUCUGUGAUGCCCUUCGAUGUUCUGGGCUGCACGCGCGCUACACUGAUGCGUCCAACGAGUGUACAACCUUGCCCGAUAGGGUUGGGUAACCUUUUGAACACGCAUCGUGAUGGGGAUAGAUUAUUGCAAUUAUUAAUCUUCAACGAGGAAUUCCUAGUAAUGAUGGUUCAUCAGACCAUCGUGAUUACGUCCCUGCCCUUUGUACACACCGCCCGUCGCUCCUACCGAUUGAGUAAUCC